rnacentral:tRNA from 1 species
GGCACUCUGGCCGAGCGGUCUAAGGCGUCAGACUCAAGCUUAAUCACUUCCUCCAAGAUUUCACUUGGUGGUGUAUUCUGAUCUUCGUACGAAGGCAUGGGUUCGAAUCCCAUGGGUGUCA